UGGGAUGUAGCCAAGUGGUAAGGCAACGGGUUUUGGCUCCGUCAUACGAAGGUUCGACUCCUUCCAUCCCAGCCA
rnacentral:tRNA from 1 species